UACGGAGGGUGCAAGCGUUAAUCGGAAUUACUGGGCGUAAAGCGUGCGUAGGUGGUUUGUUAAGUCCGUUGUGAAAGCCCCGAGCUCAACUUGGGAAUUGCAGUGGAUACUGGCAAGCUGGAGUGCGGUAGAGGAAGGUGGAAUUCCCGGUGUAGCGGUGAAAUGCGUAGAGAUCGGGAGGAACACCAGUGGCGAAGGCGGCCUUCUGGACCAGCACUGACACUCAGGCACGAAAGCGUGGGGAGCAAACAGG
rnacentral:rRNA from 1 species